UAUUAUGAGAGUUUGAUCCUGGCUCAGGACGAACGCUGGCGGCGUGCCUAAUACAUGCAAGUCGAACGCUUCUUUCCUCCCGGGUGCUUGCACUCAAUUGGAAAGAGGAGUGGCGGACGGGUGAGUAACACGUGGGUAACCUACCCAUCAGAGGGGGAUAACACUUGGAAACAGGUGCUAAUACCGCAUAACAGUUUAUGCCGCAUGGCAUAAGAGUGAAAGGCGCUUUCGGGUGUCGCUGAUGGAUGGACCCGCGGUGCAUUAGCU
rnacentral:rRNA from 1 species